rnacentral:rRNA from 1 species
CCUACGGGGGGCAGCAGUGGGGGAUAUUGCACAAUGGGGGGAACCCUGAUGCAGCGACGCCGCGUGAGGGAAGACGGUCCUCUGGAUUGUAAACCACUGUCCCCAGGGACGCAAAUGACGGUCGCUGGGGAGGAAGCUCCGGCUAACUACGUGCCAGCCGCCGCGGUACUACGCAGGGAGCGCGCGGUGUCCGGAUUUACUGGGUGUAAAGGGAGCGACGGCGGGGAUGCAAGUUGGGUGUAAAAUCUACCGGCUCAACUGCUAGUCGCACUCGAAACUGCAGCUCGUGAGUGAAGGAGAGGCAUGCGGAAUGCGUAGUGUAGCGGUGAAAUGCGUAGAUAUUAGGAGGAACACCGGUGGCGAAGGCAGCCUGCUGGGCUUUUACUGACGCUGAUGCACGAAAGUGUGGGGAGCGAACAGGAUUAGAUACCCUAGUAGUC